rnacentral:lncRNA from 1 species
AUGAUGGAGAUGCCGCAAGCGGAUGAGUCGGGCAAGGUGCCUGAGGAUACAGUCGACGUGCAGGACCAAGAACUCAAAGACAAGGACCCGCCACCGACCCCAGAGCGCGACCCCUACGCUCGCGAAUUCCUGGACCCCGUCAACUCCACCGCCGCACCCACCGUCAGGUUCGAGACUGCCAAACUGCCCGGAAUACGCGAGAGUGAUAAUGACACUCUUGAUAUACAAAGGGAUAAGAACGUGACCUUAUCGUCGAUAAAGGACAAGAUCCUAGCAUUUCUUUGGCAGUCUGGUCGAAAGCCAGGCAACUGGAGCGAUGCGAAGCCUCAGCACAAAGAGAUGCUGAAUAAUGUACUGAAGACGAUACCAGUUUCUGGUGUUGAGGAUGCCACCGAGAAAGUUCAGAGUUACUUCCCUUCGUGUAGCGUGCCAACUGACACGGAUGAAGAGUUAUGGAAUAAUGGAAAAAUGAUGAACCUGGUGUUCAAUGUGAGCUUUCCACCCCCUGCCCCUCCACCCAACGCCAUCAAUGGAACUGCCACUUUGGUCACGGGAGCCAAAUUGCGACUAUAUUUCAAGGCCAAUUCAUCGAUGACACUAUCAGAAAACUGCUCGCAAACGGCAAACGAUGACCAAAAAGCUAUCAAAUUUUGCAGUGUUCGAAUUGGUGAAACUGCAGCCGGGGCUUCCGAGGACAGACAGUUUCGGGUCUCUAUUCAUAGAUAUACGAAACCUCUGAAAAAACAAGAAAAAACGAAGAGGACAAUCAGUCUGUUGGACAGUCGGAUGGUGACGCUGGGAAGUGAAACUUGGGCUGAAUUUGACGUCAAAAAGGCCGCUAGAGCGUGGGGGAAGUCAAAAAAUUUCGGCCUCGCUGUUCAAGUUGAGGAUUUAGCAAAACCACCCUUCCGGCUGAUAGGUAUUUCGUCACGAUGAACUGCUCCAAAGAAGCAC